rnacentral:rRNA from 1 species
ACUCCUACGGGAGGCAGCAGUGGGGAAUAUUGGACAAUGGGGGCAACCCUGAUCCAGCCAUGCCGCGUGAGUGAUGAAGGCCUUAGGGUUGUAAAGCUCUUUCAGCGAGGAGGAUAAUGACGUUACUCGCAGAAGAAGCCCCGGCUAACUUCGUGCCAGCAGCCGCGGUAAUACGAAGGGGGCUAGCGUUGUUCGGAAUCACUGGGCGUAAAGCGCACGUAGGCGGAUUGAUAAGUUAGGGGUGAAAUCCCGGGGCUCAACCUCGGAACUGCCUUUGAUACUGUCAGUCUUGAGUCCGAGAGAGGUGAGUGGAACUCCGAGUGUAGAGGUGAAAUUCGUAGAUAUUCGGAAGAACACCAGUGGCGAAGGCGGCUCACUGGCUCGGUACUGACGCUGAGGUGCGAAAGCGUGGGGGAGUAC